GACGAACGCUGGCGGCGUGCUUAACACAUGCAAGUCGAACGGAAAGGCCCUGCUCUUGUGGGGUGCUCGAGUGGCGAACGGGUGAGUAACACGUGAGUAACCUGCCCUUGACUUUGGGAUAACUCCAGGAAACUGGGGCUAAUACCGGAUAGGAGCUCCUGCUGCAUGGUGGGGGUUGGAAAGUUUCGGCGGUUGGGGAUGGACUCGCGGCUUAUCAGCUUGUUGGUGGGGUAGUGGCUUACCAAGGCUUUGACGGGUAGCCGGCCUGAGAGGGUGACCGGCCACAUUGGGACUGAGAUACGGCCCAGACUCCUACGGGAGGCAGCAGUGGGGAAUAUUGCACAAUGGGCGGAAGCCUGAUGCAGCAACGCCGCGUGCGGGAUGACGGCCUUCGGGUUGUAAACCGCUUUCGCCUGUGACGAAGCGUGAGUGACGGUAAUGGGUAAAGAAGCACCGGCUAACUACGUG
rnacentral:rRNA from 1 species